CUACGGGUGGCUCCAGUGGGGAAUAUUGCACAAUGGGCGCAAGCCUGAUGCAGCCAUGCCGCGUGUAUGAAGAAGGCCUUCGGGUUGUAAAGUACUUUCAGCGGGGAGGAAGGGAGUAAAGUUAAUACCUUUGCUCAUUGACGUUACCCGCAGAAGAAGCACCGGCGAACUCCGUGCCAGCAGCCGCGGUAAUACGGAGGGUGCAAGCGUUAAUCGGAAUUACUGGGCGUAAAGCGCACGCAGGCGGUUUGUUAAGUCAGAUGUGAAAUCCCCGGGCUCAACCUGGGAACUGCAUCUGAUACUGGCAAGCUUGAGUCUCGUAGAGGGGGGUAGAAUUCCAGGUGUAGCGGUGAAACGCGUAGAGAUCUGGAGGAAUACCGGUGGCGAAGGCGGCCCCCUGGACGAAGACUGACGCUCAGGUGCGAAAGCGUGGGGAGCAAACAGGAUUAGAUACCCCCGUAGUC
rnacentral:rRNA from 1 species